GAAAGAGAGUUAAAAGUACGUGAAAUUGUUGAAAGGGAAACGCUUGAAGUCAGACGUGCGCGGUACUUGUACCACUGCAGGCCAGCAUCGGUUAUACGAGCCGGAUAAAGGUUAUUGGAAGGUAGCAGUCUCGGCUGUGUUAUAGCCUAUAACUGAAUACGGAUUAUAUGACCGAGGGACGCAGCGCGCCGCAAGGCAAAGGAUUCGUUCUUUCGCGCUUAGGAUGCUGGUGAAAUGGCUUUAAAUGACCCGUCUUGAAACACGGACCAAGGAGUCUAACAUGCUUGCGAGUGUUUGGGUGGUCAAACCCAUACGCGUAAUUAAAGUGAAUGGAGGUGGGAUCUUUAACCGGAGCACCAUCGACCGAUCCGGAUUUUUAAUGAAGGAUUUGAGUAAGAGCACGUAUGUUGGGACCCGAAAGAUGGUGAACUAUGCCUGAAUAGGGUGAAGCCAGAGGAAACUCUGGUGGAGGCUCGUAGCGGUUCUGACGUGCAAAUCGAUCGUCAAAUUUGGGUAUAGGGGCGAAAGACUAAUCGAACCAUCGGCUACUGGUGGUUAAGAGAGACAGGAAAGCUGAUCUCUAGUGAGUAUUUCGAACUUGCAACAUUAUCAAAUUGCUGGAAGUCCCUUCGAGGCCACGAAUACGAAGUCACCAGUCCGAAAGGAGGUGAUGGCUGCCUGACUAUGUAAUGCGUAGUUCAGUCGGGUAACGUAAUAAUUUCAUGUGUCUAACGGGUGAUCAGCAGCCAAGUCCCUUAACAGGGAUGCAGUUCAACGACUAAAUGGUGAUGGGUCCGAUCAGAUCGGGCUUAAGAUAUAGUCUGUCCCACUUGAAAAAGUGCUUAAGAAUGAAGUCCAGACUUAAAUAAAUAAUUGAAAAGGCAGGAAUUUUGGGCCGGAGUCUUUAAGGGCUGUAAUUUAUAUCACAGCUGGGAAUAUAAGGAAUAACAGUA
rnacentral:rRNA from 1 species